GAUGAACGCUGGCGGCGUGCUUAACACAUGCAAGUCGAACGAAGCAUUUGCGACAGAUUUUUUCGGAAUGAAGUUGCUUAUGACUGAGUGGCGGACGGGUGAGUAACGCGUGGGUAACCUGCCUUGUACUGGGGGAUAGCAGCUGGAAACGGCUGGUAAUACCGCAUAAGCGCACAAUGUUGCAUGACAUGGUGUGAAAAACUCCGGUGGUAUAAGAUGGACCCGCGUCUGACUAGCUAGUUGGUGAGAUAACAGCCCACCAAGGCGACGAUCAGUAGCCGACCUGAGAGGGUGACCGGCCACAUUGGGACUGAGACACGGCCCAGACUCCUACGGGAGGCAGCAGUGGGGAAUAUUGCACAAUGGAGGAAACUCUGAUGCAGCGACGCCGCGUGAGUGAAGAAGUAAUUCGUUAUGUAAAGCUCUAUCAGCAGGGAAGAUAGUGACGGUACCUGACUAAGAAGCUCCGGCUAAAUACGUG
rnacentral:rRNA from 1 species